rnacentral:lncRNA from 1 species
AAAGGGCAAGCUGAGUCCUCGUUUCAUAGGACCUUAUGAGAUUACCGAGAGAGUAGGGCCUGUUGCCUACUAAUUGGCUUUUUCCUCAGAGUUGGAAAAUAUUUACGAUGUAUUUCAUGUGUCCAUGUUACAUCAAUAUAGAUUAGAUCCUUCGCAUGUGAUCGCGACAACUGAAGUUGAGAUUCAGCCGGAUAUGACUUAUGACGAAGAGCUAGUUAAGAUUUUG